rnacentral:rRNA from 1 species
AAUGAACGUUGGCGGCGUGGAUUAGGCAUGCAAGUCGAGCGUGAUAGGUUUGGUGCUUGCAUUAAACCUUGAAAGCGGCGAAAGGGACAGUAACGCGUAGAUACCUACCUCCAGGUCCGGGAUAGCGGCGGGAAACUGCCGGGAAUACCGGAUAAUGUCUUCGGACCAAAGGGGUGAUUCCGCUUGGAGACGGAUCCGCGUCCUAUUAGCGAGUUGGUGGGGUAAUGGCCCACCAAGGCGAUGAUGGGUAGCGGGCGUGAGAGCGUGGCCCGCGUCACUGGGACUGAGACACUGCCCAGACACCUGCGGGUGGCUGCAGUCGAGAAUCUUCGGCAAUGGGCGCAAGCCUGACCGAGCGACGCCGCGUGCGGGAUGAAGGCCUUCGGGUUGUAAACCGCUGUCGGAGAGGCGGAAAUCUCUAGGGGUUCUCCCCUGGAGUUGACCUAAUCUCGGAGGAAGUCCGGGCUAAGUUCGUGCCAGCAGCCGCCGUAAGAC